UGGGGAAUAUUGCACAAUGGAGGGAACUCUGAUGCAGCGACGCCGCGUGAGUGAAGAAGGAAUUCGUUUCGUAAAACUCUGUUCUAUGGGAAGAAAAGGACUGUACCAUAGGAGAAAGCUCCGGCUAAAUACGUGCCAGCAGCCGCGGUAAUACGUAUGGAGCGAGCGUUGUCCGGAAUUAUUGGGCGUAAAGGGUGCGCAGGCGGCUUUACAAGUUGGAUGUGAAAUAUUGUGGCUCAACCACAAACGUGCAUCCAAAACUGCAAAGCUUGAGUUAAGGAGAGGUAAGUGGAAUUCCUGGUGUAGCGGUGGAAUGCGUAGAUAUCAGGAGGAAUACCGGUGGCGAAGGCGACUUACUGGACUUAAACUGACGCUCAGGCACGAAAGCGUGGGGAGCAAACAGG
rnacentral:rRNA from 1 species